AUUGAACGCUGGCGGCAGGCUUAACACAUGCAAGUCGAGCGGAGAUGAGGUGCUUGCACCUUAUCUUAGCGGCGGACGGGUGAGUAAUGCUUAGGAAUCUGCCUAUUAGUGGGGGACAACAUUCCGAAAGGAAUGCUAAUACCGCAUACGUCCUACGGGAGAAAGCAGGGGAUCUUCGGACCUUGCGCUACUAGAUGAGCCUAAGUCGGAUUAGCUAGUUGGUGGGGUAAAGGCCUACCAAGGCGACGAUCUGUAGCGGGUCUGAGAGGAUGAGCCGCCACACUGGGACUGAGGCACGGCCCAGACUCCUACGGGGGGCAGCAGUGGGGAAUAUUGGACAAUGGGGGGAACCCUGAUCCAGCCAUGCCGCGUGUGUGAAGAAGGCCUUAUGGUUGUAAAGCACUUUAAGCGAGGAGGAGGCUACUGAGACUAAUACUCUUGGAUAGUGGACGUUACUCGCAGAAUAAGCACCGGCUAACUCUGUGCCAGCCGCCGCAGUAACAC
rnacentral:rRNA from 1 species